rnacentral:sRNA from 1 species
GCCAGGUAUGGUGGCACACGCCUGUAAUCCCAGCAACUGGGGAGGCUGAGGCAGGAGGAUCGUGAGUCCAAAGCCAGCCUCAGCAACUUAGCAAGACUCUGUCUCAA